UCCUUCUUCCUUCCUUCCUUCCUUCCUUCCUUCCUUCCUUCCUUCCUUCCUUCCUUCCUUCUGGCUGCACCACUGGAUGAGUUAUAUUAACAUACCAAUAUAUAUUAUAUGCAAUUCUCAAUUUACAAAGUCUUAACUCUGACUCUGUUACCUGUUAGCACUUAAUAUAGAGAUAUAUAAAACAGCUCCCUAACCAUACUCAGCUUAACCCCGAUGGAAAUGUAGCUCCUGUUAUGCAUGUUCUUCACUCCUUUAAUGACCUGUUCUAAAUCAGCUUUAAAGCAUAUCAGAUUUAGUGUUGUAUUGCUCAAACUAAUGGCGUUGCUCUCUGUUACCAGCUUGUGCCGUUCAGCAGUAUGAUUCUUUCUAUGGUGUAAGCAACUUUGGUGUAAACUCGCUCCAAAAAGUAUCUUUACGGAAGGUCAGAUGAAUUUUAAAUUGUUGUCUCGGUAGGGUUGUCAAAAUCCUUCGUCCGUUGUGUCAUAUUGUCUCACACGAAAUAGUAAAGAUACUUUUUUGGAUUGAGUAUACAGUAGUACUAUUCAGAGUCAUAUUCUAGGUCAUACUUUAACACUACUGCACUGGUGGUAACUGGAGGGCAAUCUCUUUUAAACUAUAUAACCUUGUUACCUGAGUAUUUACUGUACUCCCCUUAUUCCAUCAGGGAUCACCAGCAUCACGUGUUCUUCUUGCAGAUUACAGCACAACGAGUCAGUAUUAGAGUUAAGCUUAGUCUUAGCCAUAUCCCUGUUGAGCCUCACACCUGGUCAUGUAUCAGUAGCGGUGCCAUAGUGUUUUUAUUAUUAUUUAGACAUUUUCAAUUUACUUUUCUUGAUGAUGAGGUUUAACAUUGUGACAAAGGUUUAACAUUGUGACAAAGGUUUAACAUUGUGACAAAGGUUUAACAUUGUGACAAAGGUUUAACAUUGUGACAACAGAAAGAACACACUAUGCCUUAAGUUGGAUGUACUGUACAGUGUGUUUUGAGUUAAUAAGUUAACAGAUUUCAAGUAUGAAUUGUGUACCAUUGGGUUAGGGGUUACUGUACUUCUCACAAAAAUGCCACUUUGAUCCCAUUUUUAGUUGUCAUUUGGACAUUUGAUCCUUAAUAAAAAGCCCAUUUUUGGUGUCGAUGAAGCCCCUACAAAUUAAAAUACAGGUAUAUACCAUUA